GGAUGUGGGGGCGAUGUGGCUGUGACAUUUCUCACCCCACUGAUCUCCAGAGUUGACUCAGCUGAUCUGGCUGGCUAGGCGGGCGGCCCCCUUCUCCUCCUGUGCAGCCCUCAGGAAGCCGUAGGCUCAAGGAUCCACCACCCUCAGUGGAUCUCCUCAUAUUAUCUCAAGUACUUCUGAUAUAUUUGUUUUCAUUAUGUGAGGAAAUAAUUCUUUUU
rnacentral:sRNA from 1 species